rnacentral:rRNA from 1 species
GUGGCGAGUGGCGAACGGGUGAGUAAUAUAUCGGAACAUGUCCGGAAGUGGGGGAUAACGUAGCGAAAGUUACGCUAAUACCGCAUAUGCCCUACGGGGGAAAGGGGGGGAUCGCAAGACCUCUCGCUUUCGGAGUGGCCGAUAUCAGAUUAGCUAGUUGGUGGGGUAAAGGCCUACCAAGGCGACGAUCUGUAGCUGGUCUGAGAGGACGACCAGCCACACUGGGACUGAGACACGGCCCAGACUCCUACGGGAGGCAGCAGUGGGGAAUUUUGGACAAUGGGGGAAACCCUGAUCCAGCCAUGCCGCGUGAGUGAAGAAGGCCUUCGGGUUGUAAAGCUCUUUCAGCCGGAAAGAAAUCGCACUGGUUAAUACCUUGUGUGGAUGACGGUACCGGAAGAAGAAGCACCGGCUAACUACGUGCCAGCAGCCGCGGUAAUACGUAGGGUGCGAGCGUUAAUCGGAAUUACUGGGCGUAAAGCGUGCGCAGGCGGUUUUGUAAGACAGACGUGAAAUCCCCGGGCUUAACCUGGGAACUGCGUUUGUGACUGCAAGGCUAGAGUAUGGCAGAGGGGGGUAGAAUUCCACGUGUAGCAGUGAAAUGCGUAGAUAUGUGGAGGAAUACCGAUGGCGAAGGCAGCCCCCUGGGUCCGACUCAACAUUGGGAC